GGGGGAUCGAGGGGGCAGCUUAGCCAUCACAAGUCUCAGUACGAGCUGACUUAAAGUGAAACCGCAAAAGGCUCAGUAAACCGGUCAUAGUUUACCGGAUAUAUGCCACUCACGUGGAUAACUGUGGUAAUUCUAGAGCUAAUACAUGCAACCAAGUCCCGACCAGCGAUGGAAAGGACGCUUUUAUUGGAUCAAAACCAUUCGCCCGGCUCGCCCGGGCGUCUGCUUGAUGACUCUAGAUAACACCACAGAUCGCACGGUCAUAGUACCGGCGACGUAUCCGUCAAAUGUCUGACUUAUCAGCUGUCGAUGGUAGACUCUGUGUCUACCAUGGCGCUCACGGGUAACGGGGAAUCAGGGUUCGAUUCCGGAGAGGGAGCCUGAGAAACGGCUACCACAUCCAAGGAAGGCAGCAGGCACGCAAAUUACCCACUCCCGGCACGGGGAGGUAGUGACAAAAAAUAACGAUACGGGACUCAUCCGAGGCCCCGUAAUCGGAAUGAGAACACCCUAAAUCCUUUAACGAGGAUCUAUUGGAGGGCAAGUCUGGUGCCAGCAGCCGCGGUAAUUCCAGCUCCAAUAGCGUAUAUUAAAGUUGUUGCGGUUAAAAAGCUCGUAGUUGGUUCUGCGUGCCACGCUGUCGGUUCACCGCCUGUCGGUGCAACUGGCAUGCCGUGGCAUGUCCUGUCGGUGGCCGACGGGCUUCGCGGCGCGCCCCACUCGCUCAGGCGUGUGGGUGUACGCGCCGUGUUGUCCUCGUUGGCCGGCUCAAUCCUACCGCGGUGCUCUUAAACGAGUGUCGAGGUAGGCCGACACUGUUUACUUUGAACAAAUUAGAGUGCUUAAAGCAGGCUCUGAAAGCAGCCUGAAUAGUGGUGCAUGGAAUAAUGGAACAGGACCUUGGUUCUAUUUUGUUGGUUUACGGAAUCCAAGGUAAUGAUCAAUAAGGACAGGCGGGGGGCAUUCGUAUUGCGACGUUAGAGGUGAAAUUCUUGGAUCGUCGCAAGACGCACUAGAGCGAAAGCAUUUGCCAAGUAUGUCUUAAUUGAUCAAGAACGAAAGUUAGAAGGUUCGAAGGCCAUCAGAUACGCUCACAUUUCUUCAACAACAAGGGGGGGGGAGAGGGGGGGGGGGGUGGGGGAGGGGAAGGGAGAAGAA
rnacentral:rRNA from 1 species